GGGUGCCGAGAGGAGCGGAUGCAGCUGGAGCGGCUCCCUUAGGGAGCCGAGUGGCAGGUGGGCGGCGGCGAGGGUCCUUGAGGGCGGGUCUGAGAGUCUUCAGAAGGGGAGGGCUCUGAGGUCUUUUUGAAGCUGGCUGUGCUUAACCUGGAGAGGGUUAAGGCCCCGCUUCCUGGCCUUCCAGCCUGUAAUGCCAAAAGAUAAGGGAGAGGCUGUCGUGUGACCCCCGUUUUGAGUCAGGUGGACAGAGGGCUGGCCACCUUCGGAACCAUGGGUGCAAUACGGAGUCAGACCUCAAUACAAGCACACUCUUUCACAUAUCUGAACUUUUUUUGUUCACUGUGCAGGGAUUGUUCAUUGCUGCUGGAGGAAGAUCAUGGACUGUCCCGGGAAACUGAAGUGGUUGAGUAUCCACUAAUCGUGGAUGAGGACAGUGACUUCGCAGUUUUUUUGCGAAUCACAUCUCUUUGAUUAUGUUGUGACUAGUUUUGUUAGUAAACUGAGAUAGCCAUUCAGUGUUUGGGAUACCUGUUAAGCCCCUUGUCCAGGGACUGUGGUUGGAUUUAUGAAUUAUUUGGACGGUUGUCCACUUGACAGUAGCUUCAUAACACUGUUACAAAGCUCGUUCUAAGAUUAAGCUGUUGAACCUAUAUUUCCCAUUAGUGCUUAAUUUUUGAAGUAUUCUUAUUUUUAUGAAUCAAGUCCUGGAAAAGGACAAGAUAUUUGAAUGAAAUAGCACCCAUAAUGGAGAACUUCACAGUUGCUACUCCUGUGAUAGGUUUAUCUUAGUUUAUUGAGGUGUAAAUGGAAUAGCAGGUGUUGUCAGGUACAAGGUUUGUAGCUUGCCGAUAUGUUCUUUACCAACACUGCAGAUUCCCAUUGAGUUGGUGGGAAUUUUGUUACCUUUUUUUUUUCUCAACAAAAUAAUUCUAUAACUUUUUGUGACAAGAAAUGGACUUUCAAUUUACUUAAGAUUAAUACUUCUUGAAUGAUAAAAUCAUUUUGCCAUGUUAGAAGACAUUUCCGAAGAAGACAUUUGGGAAUACAAAUCUAAAAGAAAACCAAAACGAGUUGAUCCAAAUAAUGGCUCUAAAAAUAUUCUAAAAUCUGUUGAAAAAGCAACAGAUGGAAAAUACCAGUCAAAACGGAAUAGAAACAGAAAAAGAGCCACAGAAGCUAAAGAGGUGAAGGACCAUGAAAUGCCCCUCGAAAAUGCAGAUUGUCAGACUUCUGUAGCUUCUAGUCAGAAUUCAAGUUGUGGAGAUGGUAUUCAGCAGACCCAAGACAAGGAAACUACUCCAGGAAAACUCUGUAGAACUCACAAAAGCCAACACGUGUCCCCAAAGAUACGUCCAGUUUAUGAUGGAUACUGUCCAAAUUGCCAGAUGCCUUUUUCCUCAUUGAUAGGGCAGACACCUCGAUGGCAUGUUUUUGAAUGUUUGGAUUCUCCACCACGCUCUGAAACAGAGUGUCCUGAUGGUCUUCUGUGUACCUCAACCAUUCCUUUUCAUUACAAGAGAUACACUCACUUCCUGCUAGCUCAAAGCAGGGCUGGUGAUCAUCCUUUUAGCAGCCCAUCACCUGCGUCAGGUGGCAGUUUCAGUGAGACUAAGUCAGGCGUCCUUUGUAGCCUUGAGGAAAGAUGGUCUUCGUAUCAGAACCAAACUGAUAACUUGGUUUCAAAUGAUCCUUUAUUGAUGACACAGUAUUUUAAAAAGUCUCCAUCUCCAACUGAAGCCAGUGAAAAGAUUUCUACUAAUAUCCAAACAUCCCAGCAAGCUCUACAAUUUACAGAACUUGUUGAGAAUGACAAACUGAUAGGAGUUGCUUUGCGUCUUGCAAACAACUCAGGACACAUAAAUUUGCCAUUGCCAGAAAAUGACUUCAGCGACUGUGAAAUCUCCUAUUCUCCACUUCAAAGUGAUGAAGACACUCAUGAUAUCAAUGAAAAACUGGAUGAUUCACAAGAACAACUAUUUUUUACCGAAAGCUCAAAAGAUGGCACCCUCGAAGAAGAUGAUGACAGCUGUGGUUUUUUUAAAAAACGACAUGGUCCCUUACUGAAGGACCAGGAUGAGAGCUGCCCCGAAGUGAACAGCUUCUUAACUCAGGAUAAGUAUGAUGAAGGAUUGUAUAGAUUCAAUAGUCUAAAUGAUUUGUCUCAACCUGUUUCCCAAAAUAAUGAGAGUACUUUGCCUUAUGAUCUGACAUGUACUGGUGGUGAUUUUGUGUUGUUUCCACCUGCAUUGGCAGGGAAGCUUGCUACUUCUGUUCAUCAGGCAACUAAAGCAAAACCUGAUGAGCCAGAAUUUCACUCAGCUCAAUCAAAUAGACAGAAACAGGUGAUUGAAGAAUCAUCUGUUUACAAUCAAGUUUCUCUUCCGUCAGUUAAGAGUUUAAUGUUGAAACCUUUUGAAAGUCAGGGAGAAGGGUAUCUUUCUUCCCAACCAACCCAAAAUACAAUUAGAAAAUUAUCAAGUGAGAACUUGAAUGCUAAGAAUAAUACUAACUCAGCACGUUUCUGUAGAAAGGCAUUAGAGGGUGUGCCAGUUGGUAAAGCUACAAUUUUAAAUACAGAAAACUUGUCUAGUACACCUGCUCCGAAGUAUUCGAAAAUAUUGCCUUCUGGUCUUAAGUGUAAUGCAAGACAUCCUUCUACCAAGGUAAUGAAGCAAAUGGAUAUAGGUGUGUAUUUUGGACUACCUCCCAAAAGAAAAGAAGAGAAAUUGCUAGGGGAAAGUGCAUUAGAAGGGAUAAACUUAAAUCCAGUUCCAAGUUCUAAUAAAAAGAGGUCCUUGCAGUGCAAGAGGAAAGCAGAAAAAUCUUUAAGUGAUUUAGAAUUUGAUGCAAGUAAUUUAAAUGAGAGUCAGCUUUCUGUGGAACUUUCUAGUGAGAGGUCACAGCGUCAAAAAAAGAGACGUAGAAAGUCAAAUUCACUGCAGGAUGGAGCGUAUCAGAAGAGAUCAGAUCACCUUAUUAAUACAGAAUCUGAAGCAGUCAAUUUAAGUAAAGUCAAAGUCUUCACAAAAUCAGCUCAUGGUGGGCUGCAAAGGGGCAACAAGAAAAUCCCAGAGUCAUCUAAUGUAGGAGGAUCGAGAAAAAAGACAUGUCCAUUCUAUAAGAAAAUAACUGGAACCAGCUUUACAGUUGAUGCCUUUCAGUAUGGUGUGGUUGAAGGUUGCACAGCCUAUUUUCUCACACAUUUUCAUUCUGAUCAUUAUGCUGGAUUGUCUAAACACUUCACAUUUCCAGUUUAUUGUAGUGAGAUAACUGGCAAUUUGUUGAAGAACAAGCUUCAUGUGCAAGAACAAUAUAUCCACCCAUUGCCACUGGACACUGAAUGUAUCGUGAAUGGUGUCAAAGUUGUUUUGCUUGAUGCCAAUCACUGUCCAGGUGCUGUCAUGAUCCUCUUUUAUCUUCCUAAUGGUACUGUCAUAUUACACACGGGAGACUUCAGAGCAGAUCCCAGCAUGGAACGUUCUCUUCUUGCGGACCAGAAAGUCCAUGUGCUGUACUUAGAUACCACAUAUUGUAGCCCAGAAUACACCUUUCCAUCACAGCAAGAGGUUAUCCGGUUUGCCAUCAACACUGCCUUUGAGGCUGUAACUCUAAACCCACAUGCUCUUGUUGUCUGUGGCACUUACUCUAUUGGAAAAGAGAAAGUCUUCCUAGCCAUUGCUGAUGUUUUAGGUUCAAAAGUGGGCAUGUCCCAGGAAAAAUAUAAAACUCUACAGUGCCUCAAUAUACCAGAAAUUAAUUCAGUCAUCACUACCGACAUGUGCAGUUCAUUGGUUCACCUUCUCCCAAUGAUGCAAAUUAAUUUUAAGACUGUACUCGUUUAACUUCAGAUAAGUAAAGGAGAAAAUAUUUUAUAUAUAUUUUUUUAGUGAUUAUUUUUAGAAGCAUAGCACUAGGUUGUUGAAGCUAAUGCUUAAAAAGUGAAAACUCCCCAUGCCUGUGCCAAUAUAACAUCUUUAAUCAGUCUGUUUUAUUCUACAUAACUCGUCUCCAUUGACCUCAAUAUACUAUUUUUAUUUAACAGGGCUUACAGAGUCAUUUGAAGAAGUGUGGUGGGAAAUACAAUCAGAUUUUGGCGUUUCGACCUACAGGAUGGACACACUCUAACAAGUUCACUAGAAUAGCAGAUGUUAUACCCCAGACCAAAGGAAACAUUUCAAUAUAUGGAAUUCCUUACAGUGAACACAGCAGCUACCUAGAAAUGAAACACUUUGUCCAGUGGCUGAAGCCCCAGAAAAUCAUACCUACCGUAAAUGUUGGCACCUGGAAAUCUAGGAGCACAAUGGAGAAAUAUUUUAGAGAGUGGAAAUUGGAAGCCGGAUAUUGAUGAUACCUCCGAGGAUUCAGUAGUAGUUAAGUUCGUUGGAUGUAGCUUGUUAGUAGUUAAAUCUAUAGAAAUAUGAAAUACACUUUGUGUGGAAAAACCUCAUGAAGAUUGUUCAGAUAGUUUAUUUUCUCAUUUAUGUUUGAACAGCAUGUUCAUGGUGCUGAAUGCCUCUCAGCAUCAUCAAGGAUAAUUGAAACUGGGUCUCCCUGGGACCCUUAAUUUCUUGUCCCCUGCCCUCCAUGGGCAGUUAUAUUCUGCAUCGAGCCUUAGAAGAGGAAGCAAAGGCAGAUUCAGGGACCAAAAGGAUUAAUGAUAAUUAAUAAAGUAGAUUGAAGCAUUAUAUAUAUAAGUAAUUAUGUGUGUUUAAAAUUAUUAGAUAAAACUUUUAUAUGACAUAUAUACUUAAAUAAAAUUAAUAUAAAAUUU